GCCCUGGUGGCUCAGUCAGUUAAGCAUCUGACUUUGGCUCAGGUCAUGAUCUCGAGGUUCAUGGGUUCAAGCCCCGUGUCGGGCU
rnacentral:tRNA from 1 species